rnacentral:lncRNA from 1 species
CUAGAGGGCUUGAGUUAUGAGAAAACACACUUGUGCUAAAGCCACUAUAGGAUGGUAACUUUGGUGGAGUAUACAAAAAGUAUCAAAUUAAUUUUUUAUUUUUAUUUUUUACAUGUGCACAUAUGAGUAUUGAAUUGAGUAAAUUUAUGAACUUGAAUUUCGCAAAUGGUGUAAUUGGGCUUUUGAAAUGUAGCUUCUUUUCUGAUAGUGAGAGUUUAAGAAAACAGUCUCUGUUCUGCUUGUGGAAGUUGGAGGUUUAUUCCAAAUUGGAAGCUCAAAUCUUGUAAAUGUGGUAGAGUUUAAAAUUUUAUUAUUGGAGUAGUUAUUAUGAAUGAUAAAAAGGCCAUAUCUUCCAAUUUAAUGGUGCGCAAGUGUUUAAUUAGUUUGAGGAAAUAUUAACGUUGAUGAUUACCAGCUUUUUCAAUUGCUAAUGAAAACUAUGAGUCCAAUAUUCACAGCAUGUUGAAAGUGUGAGGAAAUCGAUGGAUGAUGGUAGGAUAAGAAAAAGUUUGUGAUCAAAUAUUAGUCAAGGAAUACAAGAUUAACUAAUAUCGGAUGGACAUAUACCGAAUUUGUAACUUAUAGAAAUGACAUAUACCGUAUAUGCAACUUAUCAAAUUGGAGCAUAUCGUAUAUGCAGCUUACUUUUUGCACCUUGCCGUACAUGCAGCUUAUCAUAUUUGCACCUUACGAUAAAUGCAAUUUAUUGUAUAUAUAGAUUACCGUAUAUGCACAUAUAAGUUUUGUACAUACCAUAUAUGCAAUGAACAAAAUAUUAGCCAAAAUAUACAGCAGAAUAAAUUACGAUAAACAAAACAAUUUAAUCUAAUUAGCCAAAAGCAAGUAAUAAAAAAAUUAAAUUUGAACCGAGACCUGUGUGAACAAAGUUUUCUUAAAACAAAUUCGUCCACUCACCGUAGGUACUUGAGGUUUAAUUCGAACAUCUGUUUCCGAGGAUACAACAGAUGAACAGUAGAAUUUGAGCACAUCAAAUACUAGUCGAGCAAAAAGAACUUGUGUCGGAACAAUAUCACCAAACAAAUUUCAAACAGACACGAGACUGUAUUUGUAUGAAAAUUUAUGCAGAAAUUGUGUGCUGUGUUGCUUCUCUUGUUUUUCUUCUUGUGUGGAAUAGUAGAAAUCGGGUUGCAUAUAUAGACUCAACACCAUAAAUGCCAUUAAUUCGUAUAUAAUGACAAUGAAUAUUGGAGGGUCGGUAGUUUUGAAAUUUAAAUGGUCAGUUGGAGGGAAAAAAAUUAGCAAAACGUAGGCUCUUUUAAGGGGCCUAUUUUCAUGUCCGAAGUUUAUUUCGGUUCGACUUACUUACCCCUUGCACGCACGUAGAAAAAACCUUUAUACUACACAUGAUCACACCCUUCCAAAGUGCAAUCUUAUAUAAAAUGGUAUUUGCUUUCAUUGUUUUCCUAUGUGGGAUAACCUUAAUAGUUUUCCUUCAACACAUAAACUUCUUUCAAUUAGCAUAUUUUGAGCUCCAAUUUCUCAUUCACCCGAACAUCAUUUUUUGCAAGUAAAUAUAUGAUUUUGAUGUUUACACGAAGGAGAAUACAAAUCAAUCUUGAACUUCCAAAUUAAACAACCAGGUCCCUCUCAAAUUUAUUAGCCACUUAACCAAUUUUUCCUACAAUCCCCACAUGAAUGAAAAUUAGGAGAGACACAAGACCAUGAAACAGAAGACUUGGUGAUAAAUUUCAAUGGUUGAAACUUGCAUAUGAUAGGUUGGUAUUACCCUUUGAACAUUCCCUUGUAAAAGUAUAGUUACCUUACUGGCUGACCAGUAGACGCGUGUCGUUGAACUGUUCUACCGUUUGUAUAAGCGAUGAUCUACUCCACACAGGAUUCUUACUAACACAAUUCAGUUCUCAUCAUUAUGUUUGUUUUGGCCUUGAACAUACACAUUAUUCUAUGAGAGUUCCUAAGAAUUGAGCUCCACACAAUUCUCUUAGAAGCGGCCCCACCUCUCUCUUACAUAGGUGAUUUCUCAUAACAAAUAACCCACAUUACUUGUCUCAACUUUCAAUGCAUAAGAAUCAUUAAAAGCCUAUUGCUUAUCCUUCAUCCUUAUGGGCAUCACUGUUACAUCAUAGGCAUGGAUAGGAGGUAACAUUCCCCACAAUGAUUUAAUUAAGUUUUUACAAUUAGGUUGUCCCUUUGAAUCUAGAUCUUGGGAUCUCCAGUUAACUAGGUUGACUUUCCUUUGUAAGAACUUAUCGUUCAAGGGUUUAAGUUUCAUUCCUUUCUAUGAGUUCCCAACUAACUCUCUAUUUAACCGGAUUUAUAAUGUUAUCUUUUGACCUCAUAUGGUUAAUAGUGAUGACUCUAGUUAAGAGAAGUUGUCUUAUGGUAUUGUGUCUAAGACGUUUAUAUCUAGACUUAUCAUUAUACAUGUUACUCUGUGUCUUUCCAAUUGUUGAUUGACUGUCACAAUAUAUGUAAAUUGGUAGCACAAGUUUUGACCAAUUUGGAAUAUCCUCUAAGAAGUUGCGCAACCACUUGGCCUUUUAACAACAUUUAUCUAAAGUUAUAAAUUCAGAUUUCAUAGUAGAUCUGGUUAUAACUGUUUGUUUAGAAGAUUUUCAAGAUAUGGCAGGACCUCCCAAUGUGAACACGAAUCCACCAGUGGACUUUGAGUCUUUUAUAUCGGAUAUCCAAUUAACAUCACUAUAUCCUUCAAUGAACGUCAGAUAUCUGGUAUAGUGUAGUCCAAAAUUACGAGUAUAUCUUAAGUACCUCAGUACUCUUACUAUUCAUUUUCAGUGAUCAGCUUCUGGAUUACUCGUAUAUCUACUAGUUUACAGACUGUGUAGGCUAUGUUUGGUCUUGUACAACCCAUCAAGUACAUUAGACUUCCAAUAAUUUUCGAGUAUUCUACUUGAGAAAUACUUUCACCUUUGUUUUUAGAUAGAUGAUGAUUUGUAUCUAUCAGUGUUCUAGCCAAACCAGUAUUAUCCUUAUUGAACUUUUCUAAAAUUUUGUCCACCUAAUGUGAUUGACUUUAGAACAAGCUCAUUUAAUGUUCUUGAAUUUUUUAUUCCAAGUAAAAUAUCAACUAAACUCAUAUCUUUCAUGUCAAAUCUCGAAUUUAACAUAUCUUUAGUGGAUUUAAUCAUCUUAUUGUCACUAUAAACAAUAAGCAUGACAUCAACAAAAAGGUAUAAAAUGAUAUAACCAUUUUCUGUGCCUUUGACGUUAACACAUUUAUCACACUCAUUUAUUUUAAAUCUAUACUCUAUCAUAACAUUAUCAAUUUUUUCAUGCUGUUGUUUGGGUGUUUGUUUCAAUUCAUAUAAUGACUUCAUCAAUUUAUAGACUUUCUUUUCCUGUCCUGGUGAUGAACACCUCUUGGGUUGUUCCAUAUAGAUUUCUUCCUCUAAAUAUCUAUUUAAAAAAGCAUUUUUAACAUCUAUCCGAUGUACUUCAAGAUUUCACAAAACAGCAAUUGCAAGUAUCAUCCUAAUAUAUGUUAUUUUCGUCACUGGAGAAUAUGUAUCAAGGUAAUCAAGACCUUUGUUUGUAACCUUUUAUUACUAAUCUGACCUUAUACUUUUCGAUAGUUCCAUCUGCUUCCAUUUUCUUUUUGAAAAUCUAUUUGUAGCCUAAUGAUUUGCUUCCUGGAGGAAAUCCAUUAGCUCCCAUGUAUAGUUUUGUAAUAUGAAAUCUAUUUCACUUUUAAUGACAUCUUUCCAUUGAGGUCCUUCUGAAGAAUUCACAACUUCUUGAUAACUUUAAUGUUCACUUUCUAGCGUAUAGGUCAGAAAAUUAUGACCAUAAGAUUUUUCUGUCAUUUUCUGUUUGCUAUGUCUAAUCUCAAUCUCUUUUUCUAGUUCUUGGUCCUAACUAUUUUCAAUCAUAGUCUUAUAUGUUCGUUUAAAGGAGCUUGCUUCCUCUUUGAACUUGUACAAAAAUACAUGUUCAAAGAAUGAAGCAUGUCUUGAUUCCAAUAUCGUUUAGAGGAUUUUCGGCUCUUGAAAAGGAAAUCGAUAAGCACCAUUGUUAUGUGCUUAACCAAUGAAGAUGCAAUCUACAGUUUUCGAGCCUAUCUUUACCUUCUUUGAUAUUGGAACAGCCACUUUAGCAAGACACUUCCACACCCGUAACUAUUUAUAGAAAAACUUUCUUCUUUUUUAUAACUCAUAAGGGAUCUUUUCCAUUUUCUUUCGGGACACCUUAUUUAAAAGGUAAUUUGUUGAUAACAUAGCUUCCCCCACAUGUUCUAAGGUAACCCAAAAUUUACUAGUAUUGCAUUCAUCAUUUCUUUUAAGAUACGAUUUUUCCAUUUAGUAACACCAUUUUGUUGCAAAGAAUAAGGUGUUGUGGUUUCAUGUAUGAUUCCAUGUUGUACACAGAAUUCAGCAAAUGAUGCUUCUACUCACUACCACGAUCACUUCACAACACUUUUAAUUUCUUGUUAAGUUGAUUUUCAACUUCAUUUUUAUAGAGAACAAAUUUCUCUAUGGCUUCGUCCUUAUUUUUAAGUAGAUACACAUAACAAUAUUUUGUGCUAUCGUCGACAAAAGUAAUGAAAUACUUGUUGCCACCUCUUGUUUAUACAAAUUUUAAAUCACAUAUAUCGCUAUGAAUUAAAUCAAGUGAUUCUAUAUUCCCUUCAACUGAUUUAAAUGAUGAUCUUGCUAAUUUUGUCUCAAUACUAGUUUUGCACUUAUGGUUGGAAUUAAUGCAAAAUGUAGGUGUACAUUUCAAGUUAACUAGUUUACGUAGAGUGUCAUAGUUAACAUGCCCUAAUCAAUUAUGCCUAAUCAAUUAUGCCACACGUUGAAAGACUUAAGCAAGUAAGUAGAAAAGUUUAUUUUAUUCAUUUUUGGCUUAACAAUCAUAACAUUCAGUUUAAACAUACUAUCAAAAAUAUAACCGUUUCCUACAAAUAUUCCACCUUUUGAUAAAAUAACUUUGUCUGACUCAACUACAAUACGAAAAUCAUGCUUAUUCAAAAGUGAUCCGAACACAAGGUUUUUGCGAAUUUUCGGCACAUACAGCACUUUGUUAAGAGUUAGCUCCUUUCCUAACAUCAUCUUUAAAACCGCCUUCCCUUGACCCUUGAUUUCAGGUUUGCUGAAAUUUCCAUGAAGAACUUCUCUCCAUUCUCAAUUGUUUCGAAUACAGCAAACAACUCUUUAUCAGAGCACACAUGUCGUAUAGCACCGGCGUCAAUCAACCACUCUUUUGGGUUAGAACCCAACAUGCUCACUUCAGAAAUGAGUGCUGCGAGAUUCAUUUUCGACACAUCAUGUGUCAUGUUGUCAACCACAUUUGCUUAUUUUUUAUUAUUCUUUUUUGACAAUCUGCACUCCGAAAACUUGUGGCCUACUUUGUCAUAAUUGAAGUAUUUUCCUUGAAAUUUCUUUUUAGAAAUAACCCAUUUCGAUCCUAGCUUAGUACCUUUGCCACCGGAUAUCCUAGGCUUGUUCUCUAAAGUCUUAAAACUUUGACCGUGCUCGGCAACAUUGCCUUUAGCCACAAUAGAAUUGAGCCCCUUCUUUUCUGAACUUCUGUUGUCUUCUUCAAUUCAAAGACUAACAAUUAGUUCUUCGACAUUCAUUUCCUUUUGUUUGUGUUUAAGGUAAUUCUUGAAAUCUUUCCAUGUGGGGGCGAUUUUUCAAUAAUGGCAGUUACUUGGAAGGUUUUACUCAAAAUCAUCCUUUCGACAUGAAUCCUUGGAGUUCUUACACCUGACUGAUUACUGUUUUGGAGUCUACCAUCUUAUAGUCCAAGAAUUAGUUAACAAUGAAUUUCUUAACUUCGGCAUCCUCAGUCAUAUAUUUUCGAUCCAAUGAUUCCCAUAGCUUUAUAGCAGUUUUCAAAAUACUAUACACGUUGUAUAGCGAGUCUGCUAAGCUAUUCAUAAUGUAGUUUCGGUAUAGAAAAUUCGAGUGUUUCCACGCAUCAAGUACCAUGAUUGUUUGAACAUCUCCCUCACCCUCAUUGAAUUUUAGAGCAGUUUCGGUCAUGAAUCUCGCAAAAUUCAAGGUGGUUGAGUAAAAUAGCAUUUUCUGCUGCCAUCUCUUGAAAUUUAAGCCAUUGAAUUUCUUCAAUUUUUCUCCAUGAUUAACCGGAACAGUAACAGUAUGGCUAGUUGCUAAGAUUUGAUUCAUAAUUACGCUUUUAUUGAAUAUUUGAUUCAUAAUUACACAAAAUUCAAGGUGGUCGGGUUAACAUAAAAUUGCUAGCUUGGUUUUCUGAAAUAAAGGCUGAAUCAAACUAUGUAAAUGUAAUACAUAAUGAAAUUGUUCCUUUACUGAUGGCAAAUCUGGAACUUGGCCACUAACAGAUGCAAUUGAGAUGCACUUCAGCUUGUUGAGUUUAGGCAAGUUGGAUGCCGGAUGAGAAGCAAUUGUUUUAGUUGUUUCCUUUCCAACGAUGGAAUCUACUCAUUGACACAGAAGUCCAUUGUUUCCGAAAAGAGAAGAGGAUUCUCAGAUACUAUGGACGGAUUUUUUGAAAUAAGAAUUUUGUUUUUACUGAAGGAAAGUGGAUGUUCAAUGCUACUGGUUCUGACUCUACAGCUGUUCAAUCUGUUGUGGAGGCAAAGUUAUCUAGCAAUAUCAAAAUAAAUGUGAUUCUCUCCAAUAAUUCAUCUAGGGCUCAAGUCAUCCAUGGAGAAAAAGGUGUCUCUUUCUAGGCUCAGUUAGACCAGUGACUCUGGAACUACUCAAUCAUGUAUUAAUCACAUGGGAAGCACUGAAGAUAUUUCUAGGUAGUUAGUUAAUGAGUUUCACAUAUUAUUUUUCAACUUCUUUUUUUUUUUUUUUGGUAUUUAUGAAGAUUUCCAAUAUAAUUUCAUGCAUAAAAUUUAUGAAUUUUAUCAAAUAAGUGGAAGCAUCAACUAAUCAAAGUACCGACAAGCAGAUGCUUAUAUAUAAUCUUGAUGAAGACAUCUACUUUUUAUUUAUUUUUAAUUGGACUUUAUUUAUAUUUUAGAUUUUAUUUAUGUAAUUGUGCUUGUGUUGGCCCAAGUCCAUUCUAUUUAGAGUUUUAGUCUUUACUAUUUAAACCUAAUUACGAUGUAAUUUCGUUAGUUUUGAUGAAUUGAAGAACAUUUUGGUGGUUUGUUGCCUAUGGCUUCUCCUUCCUCUCCCUCUCCCCCAUAAAUUUAUGCUUCUUCUCUAGUUUCUCCCCCCAUUCUCUCCGGUUCUCCCCUUUUCUUGCUUCUUCUUUCUAUUUUUUAAUUCGUCCUGCAUCAAAUUUGGUAUUAGAGCCUAAACUUGGAUAAUUUCUCAUCUCCAAUCCAAAAUCUCUUCAUAUUUCUUUCCCAAGAACUUGUGGAACAGUAUAAACAAAUAAACUUUUAGCAUAAGCAGUCAAGUUAUUAUUUUUCCAGCUUCUUCAUAGUUGUUCCUCAAAAAAAAAAAAGUUACUGUUCAUCGCGGGUACUGUACACCCAGAAUUUCAAUUUAGUAUUUUGGUCAGUUUCUUUUAAAAAAAAAAAAAAAACUGUUCACGGGUACUGUUCACGCCAAAAAAAAAAAAAUCUCAUCUUUUUUUUUCCUCCUACUGCUGCUCAUAAAUUUAAAAAAAAAAUUGUGGUGGUGUUCCACAAAUCUCAAACUCUAGCAUUCAAGCCCAUUUAGCCCAAUUAACCCAGCCUACUCUCUACGACCCAGGCCCACUCCCCAAACACUAACCCCAGCUGGCCUAUCUCUAUAACAGGAUCCAAACCCCUUCCCAUCUGGCCCAGUCCCAAAUAUCCAACCAAGCCCGAUUAUAACCAAUCCAUUAAUAUCAAAUACCCCAGAGUUUCACCCGAUUUCUCUCUCACAGCCACUCUCUUGCCGCUGCCGCCUCUAAUCACCAUCACGCCACCAUUUCAUUAUCUAUUGUACCCAGGCAUCCAGAGCACUACCGCUUCAUCACCAUAGGUCACCACCACCAACCCAAGAUCAUUAACUUCCACCACAAUUACCACACUCAUAUAUUUUCUCGUCCAUCUCAACAAUCUAAAAGCCACAGUCACCACACACAAUUUUACAUCCACACCAGAACCAGCACAAGUUACAGUCAACAUGGGCUAAAAUCAUUGGACAAGAAGGGAAGAACAGAAGCAUAGUUAGGGCUCAUAAGUCGGCAAUUCAGAUCAAUUGGCAUACAAAUAAUCAAAACUAAAUAACAGGGAGUCCUUGAUCUCUAUUUUGUAUUGGUUUAUAAUGCUGCUUCAUUUUUAAAAUUGCAUCAAUUAAAAUCUUGUGCUGCUGUUAUCAUGAUAAUUUUAGCCUUAAACCCUACUUGAUCGAAACCAUUAAUCGAAUUGACACCAGUGACCGAAUUGACAUCCAUUGUUCCCCACUUAACUUGAUUGGAGAAUUUGACUAGUAUGUUGGCCCUUGCUUUGCCAUUUUACAUGUACCAGCAGUAUUAGCUUGUUUUGGAUUUAAUUAAUCCCAAUAUUUAAAAUUAAAUAAUAAUAAAAAAUUGGUACAAGUUAUUUUUCAUUGCUUGCACGUAUUGUUCACUGAUCUCAUCAUAGCACAUCAUUUAGCUGGUAUUACAUUGCAUGUAGUUGCGUAGUGGUCGUCUUGUCGUCUCUAUUUCCAAUACAUCGACCAUGGAUCCAUCCCAAUUUGAUGCACUUACUAGACAAUUAGCACAACUUGCCACUAGCCUAUCGACUGUCCAAUCAGAUAUAACUGCUACUCGUGAGGAGAGAAAGACCCUAGCUACUAAGUUGAGCAAUUUUAAGCGAACCCCUCAUUUGACUGACACUAAUUCUAAAGCGUCUCAUAAUAGACAAUAUCAUCGUGAACAAAGUGAUCAAGAAUAUUUUCGACGCGAUCGUAGGAAUAGGGAUCAGGUUCGUGAGCGAGAACAAGACCAUGGUCAUCAUCGUACUCAUUCUCUUCCUCGUCGUAAUGAGCGUUUCUUUAGAGAUAUUGACUUAGAUAUUCCUACUUUCGAUGAUUGCUUAGAUCAUGAAAUUUUUAUCCAAUGGAACACCCUUACACAAGAGAAUCGGCUAGUAACUGAGUACAUUACUCAAUUUGAGGAAUUUCUAGUGAAAUGUCAUGUCGUUGAGGAUGAGGCCCUGAUUUUAAGUAGGUUUAUACAAGGUCUACGAGAUGAACUUAGGCGUGAGCUUUUCUUUCGAGGCAUCACUACUUUUGAUCAAGCUUACUCUUCAGCUCGGGACUACGAGUUACUUAUUAGUACUACAUAUGAAAAGCGUGAUCACCAUCGUUCACCCAUCUCAUUAGUGUCAUCUCAUUAUAAGUCUAUCAUAGAGCCUUCCCAGUCUAGUGUUCCUUCCCUUUGGAAAAACAAGUGUAAAGGUCGUGAUAGCCCAAAGUCAUCUUCUUCAUGUAGUAAGCGUAAUGACAAUCAUCCAUCGGUUUCAUUGGCUCCACUUCCUCCUGUUAAGUCCCUUCUAGGACCUCCCCCGUCUAAUGUUCCUCCAAUUUUGAAAAAUAAGGGUAUAAUUUUUGAAACUUUAAAGACUUCUCACUUGCUAUGCAUCAGCUGUAAAGACUUUGGCCACAUCUCUUCCAAAUGUCCUAACUGAGCCUUAGUCAUAGAAGAACGAAAGAAUGCAAUAGAAGAGUCGUUAGAAGAUCUAGCAUAUGACCCUAAACUUGAAGAUUUUGAUGAUGAUAGAAUGUGAUGGAAGGGCAAUGAUAUGUGCAUAUGGACCAACAUACUUUAAAACUUUAAAAGUAUCAGCACUACUGGCUUGCAAUAUAACAUAAUCCCCAAUAUUAAAUUCAAAAUAUUGUUUAUGCAAUGUAGCUUGAGGUUUAUAUAAAGCAUUACUUGCGUCAUGUUGUUUAUUGAUCUCAAAAUGCAAGUUAUAAAAAUGUGAUACAACUACCUCAACUGACAUAAACGCACUAGCAUGUGGGUACAUGGGAAUAAGGUCUAAAGGUUUCCUAGGUUCACAACCAUGAAUAACUUCAAAGGAAUUUAGACCUAAAGACUAGUUUACAGGAUUGUUAUAUGUAGUUUGAACAGUUGGAGGAAUCAAGUCCCAAUUCCCAAGAUUUUUUUGGACUAGAGACUUGAAUAAACUGCUAAGACUUUGGUUAACAACUUCAUUUUGACCAUCAGCCUGAGGUUGGUCUGCAGUGGAGAAUUUCGAUUUAGUGCUAACCAUAGGCAACUAGGUUUUUUCAAAGUGACUAGGGAAAUCAUGGGAUACAGAAUCUGGAGUCCCAAGAAGAGCCUGGAUGCCACCUAAAGAGGCUACCACUCUGCUUUAAAUAUUGAGGACUUUGUGACUUACAAACACCAUGUUACUUCCUUUGAUGAUCUAUUUGUACUUAGCUUUAUGGACCCCCCAACUUAACUAUGUCGAUAUUUCUACUUCAAUACCAUCUAUCACAGCACACAAAGAUAAAAUUGAUGUUAUUUUUGAUGAACGUGUUGUAUUGACCAAUGAUGGCAAGAUUCGGUACUUCCUUGUUUGUUGGGUAGAUCGACGUGCUUCUUAUGCUCCUCUUUAUAUACACUUAUGUGAAAAUCUUGAAAAUGAGGUGCAUGAGUAUUGGUUAUUUGGAGUCCAGUAUCAGUACUUGAUUAGAAGGAAAGAUCGCCCCCCUUGAUCAGAUCAUAUUCUUGGGAAUAAGCUACAGUUUUCAGUACUAUCAAUAAUGAAAUUUCGUUACUUGGUUCGUUAGAAAGAUCGCCCCCCAUGGCUUGACUUGACGCAUUUGGAGUAUCAGAUUGACUGCAGCCUAUACUAUCUAUCAACUCGACGCGGUCGAGUUUUUCUCCCACCCCGGGAGAGUUGAUGAGGACAUCUACUUUUUAUUUAUUUUUAGUUGGACUUUAUUUAUAUUUUAGAUUUUAUUUAUGUAAUUGGGCCUGUGUUGGCCCAAGCCCAUUCUACUUAGGGUUUUAGUCUUUACUAUUUAAACCUAAUUACGAUGUAAUUUUGUUAGUUUUGAUGAAUUGAAGAAUAUUUUGGUGGUUUGUUGCCUAUGGCUUCUCCUUCCUCUCCCUCCCCCUCUCCCCCAUGAACUUCUGCUUCUUCUCCGAUUUCUCCCCCCAUUGUCUCCGGUUCUCCCCUCUUUUCUUCUUUCUAUUUUUUAAUUCGUCCUGCAUCAAAUCUUCCUCCGAAGAUCCUUUGCCAUGUGUGGUUAAUGUUUUAUUGAAGGUAAUUUUAUUGUUUGAGAUUCAAGCUUUUAAUUUUUAAUCCCAUCCAUAUGUUUUUGGGGAUUGUUUGUCAAUCCUCUGCUAAACUAUAAUUUAUCAAACCUUUUCAUUUUUCAAUUUUUAAUCUGUCAUAUGUUUUGAUUUGACUUUUUUUGUAUUGUCGUCUGAAAGGCUGAACCAGAGAUUAAGCAAGUAGAUACCGAUAUAUUUUGAUCCUAUUUUGGCUUGUAUCUAGCAACAUGUAAUGCACAACAGUGUAAGCUAUCUUUUAUGAAUGUUGUUGUAGUCAUAUUUUGAAUGAAUUGCUAUUAAUAGAGUAUUUCAUUUGUGCAAAGGCUUUAAUGAUGCUAUUAAUUAACCACUUCAAUGAUGAUGGUUGGUCAUAUUGAACUCUGACAGGCAUGAUGUAGUAAUCACCAUCAACUCCUCCUCCAAAAGCCAGAGUAUUAGAUCAGUCAGAAUGUCUCCUAAGGCUCUUUACAUUACUACUAGGAAGUCACCUUUUGGUGAAAUUAUUACUUCCGGCACGAGGCUAAUAACAUACUUCUCUUAACAUGUAAAUAUCCUUAAUAUGGUGUGCUUCUUGGCAAAAUGAUGAUGCGUACAAACUUUUGAAGCUGUGAUUCUUUAAUGGUUGUGUAAUAUAGGUAGGUCUAUCAAUUACUUGGUAUAG